rnacentral:rRNA from 1 species
UCUUCCCUCUGGCGUCGUGCCUAAUACAUGCAAGUCGAGCGAACAGACGAGGAGCUUGCUCCUCUGACGUUAGCGGCGGACGGGUGAGUAACACGUGGAUAACCUACCUAUAAGACUGGGAUAACUUCGGGAAACCGGAGCUAAUACCGGAUAAUAUAUUGAACCGCAUGGUUCAAUAGUGAAAGACGGUUUUGCUGUCACUUAUAGAUGGAUCCGCGCCGCAUUAGCUAGUUGGUAAGGUAACGGCUUACCAAGGCGACGAUGUGUAGCCGACCUGAGAGGGUGAUCGGCCACACUGGAACUGAGACACGGUCCAGACUCCUACGGGAGGCAGCAGUAGGGAAUCUUCCGCAAUGGGCGAAAGCCUGACGGAGCAACGCCACGUGAGUGAUGAAGGUCUUCGGAUCGUAAAACUCUGUUAUUAGGGAAGAACAAAUGUGUAAGUAACUAUGCACGUCUUGACGGUACCUAAUCAGAAAGCCACGGCUAACUACGUG